ACUCCUACGGGAGGCAGCAGGUGGGGAAUAUUGGACAAUGGGCGAAAGCCUGAUCCAGCCAUGCCGCGUGUGUGAAGAAGGUCUUCGGAUUGUAAAGCACUUUAAGUUGGGAGGAAGGGCAGUAAGUUAAUACCUUGCUGUUUUGACGUUACCGACAGAAUAAGCACCGGCUAACUCUGUGCCAGCAGCCGCGGUAAUACAGAGGGGUGCAAGCGUUAAUCGGAAUUACUGGGCGUAAAGCGCGCGUAGGUGGUUUGUUAAGUUGGAUGUGAAAGCCCCGGGGCUCAACCUGGGAACUGCAUCCAAAACUGGCAAGCUAGAGUACGGUAGAGGGUGGUGGAAUUUCCUGUGUAGCGGUGAAAUGCGUAGAUAUAGGAAGGAACACCAGUGGCGAAGGCGACCACCUGGACUGAUACUGACACUGAGGUGCGAAAGCGUGGGGAGCAAACAGGAUUAGAUA
rnacentral:rRNA from 1 species